rnacentral:rRNA from 1 species
ACAUAGAAAAGCUUGCUUUUCUGAUGACGACCGGCGCACGGGUGAGUAACGCGUAUACAACCUACCUUUUAGCGGGGAAUAGCCCAGGGAAACUUGGAUUAAUGUCCCAUAGUAUGGAGGUCUCUCCUGAGAUCAUCAUUAAACAUUUAUGGCUAUUAGAUGGGUAUGCGUCCUAUUAGUUAGUUGGUAAGGUAACGGCUUACCAAGGCAGCGAUAGGUAGGGGUCCUGAGAGGGAGAUCCCCCACACUGGUACUGAGACACGGACCAGACUCCUACGGGAGGCAGCAGUGAGGAAUAUUGGACAAUGGGCGAAAGCCUGAUCCAGCCAUGCCGCGUGUGUGAAGAAGGUCUUCGGAUUGUAAAGCACUUUAAGUUGGGAGGAAGGGUUGUAGAUUAAUACUCUGCAAUUUUGACGUUACCGACAGAAUAAGCACCGGCUGACUCUGUGCCAGCAGCCGCGGUAAU